rnacentral:rRNA from 1 species
AUGGAUGAAGAUUGGAUUCAAGCGGAUCCACCAAAGACAAAAACCAACCAAAUCCCACGAGAUCCAGAGGAGAUAAACCUCCACACGCCCUCCGACGAUGCUAGAAGCAUCAUCGGUACGGGGCUAGGCGGGGAGAGCCUUAUUCCAUCUUUAGGGAGCCGCCAUCGCCUCGUUUUUCUGAGCAGGACACACACCCUACCAAAUUUUAAUAAAACAACUAAAAAUGAAGCCCUCCCUCCGGCAAGGGUCGGGAUCCACCGUGCCUCCAUGGCCCUAAAGCCACGGGAGACGAGGCAGCCUGGCGGUUGCACAACAGGAGGCAGUGGAAAACCUAGGUUGUGUGCCAUGUGCGUGUUAGUAGCAAGGAUAAGUGCUAGCUACAUUGCUGAAUCUAAGUUUAACCAAGCAAUUACACACAAAGCACCUGAACAGACAAAAUCUUGUAGGGCCAUGUUCUAA